rnacentral:rRNA from 1 species
UACGAAGGGGGGCUAGCGUUGCUCGGAAUCACUGGGCGUAAAGCGCACGUAGGCGGCUUUUUAAGUCAGGGGUGAAAUCCUGGAGCUCAACUCCAGAACUGCCUUUGAUACUGAGAAGCUUCGAGUCCGGGAGAGGUGAGUGGAGCUGCGAGUGUAGAGGUGAAAUUCGUAGAUAUUCGCAAGAACACCAGUGGCGAAGGCGGCUCACUGGCCCGGUACUGACGCUGAGGUGCGAAAGCGUGGGGAGCAAA